GUCCCUGUAGCGCAAUGAAUAGCGCGUUGGACUUCUAAUUCAAAGGUCGUGGAGUUCGAAUCCCUCCUGGGAUG
rnacentral:tRNA from 1 species